rnacentral:lncRNA from 1 species
GAGAUAGUGGGGAAAUGGCAGUGCCCCAUCAUGAACACCUGUGAGACACAUCUCAGGUUUUGAGACACUUGUGGUGAGGGGUGGGGAAGGCGUUCUCAAGGAGCUGGAAGCCCUGCAUUCUUACAUUGGCCCAAGAGCAAGGAAACUUUGAAUUUGUACUGUUUCAAUGAUUCAGUCUGUAUUUUACAGGCAUAUGCAGUUUGGGAAAACUUGGGUUAUGCCUUGUUUUAUAGGAUGAUUUUCAGUGAGCUGUGAUGGAGAGACAUGGACCAGCAUGGAGCAUUUGGGAACACCAGGCCUAAAGAAGCCAUCUGUCCUGAAUGUAAGGCCCAACAAGUGUCUUGAACAACACAUGAAAAACACUUGGGACAGAGUACCGACCUGACCCACAGAACUGUGAGUAAAAAUAAAUGCUUAUUGUUCUAUGCUACUGAUAUCGCUGAGUUUGUUAUAUGACCUUGUUGUGGCAGUAGUUGACUGGUACUAUUAUGUAAACAAAUGAUCUAUAUACACUUGUAU